rnacentral:tRNA from 1 species
CUCCCUGUGGCUCAGUUGGUAGAGCAUGGUGUAUGCAAUGGUGUUUGCAACGCCAGGGUUGUGGGUUCGAUUCCCACAGGGGGC